AGCGAGGGAGUGGCAACACUUCUGUCGGCGACCGGCGCACGGGUGAGUAACGCGUAUGCAACUUACCUAUCAGAGGGGAUAACCCGGCGAAAGUCGGACUAAUACCGCAUGACGUGUUCGGAUGGCAUCAUCUGAACAUCAAAGAUUUAUCGCUGAAAGAUGGGCUCGCGUCUGAUUAGAUAGUUGGUGGGGUAACGGCCCACCAAACCGACGAUGGAUAGGGGUUCUGAGAGGAAGGUCCCCACAUUGGUACUGAGACACGGACCAAACUCC
rnacentral:rRNA from 1 species